AGUCAAUUUAACGCCUUGAGAGAUCAGUUUUCCUUCGGGGACAAUGGUGACAGGUGGUGCAUGGUUGUCGUCAGCUCGUGUCGUGAGAUGUUGGGUUAAGUCCCGCAACGAGCGCAACCCCUAUCCUUAGUUGCCAGCAUUCAGUUGGGCACUCUAGGGAGACUGCCGGUGACAAACCGGAGGAAGGUGGGGAUGACGUCAAAUCAUCAUGCCCCUUAUGAGUUGGGCUACACACGUGCUACAAUGGACGGUACAAAGGGCAGCGAGACCGCGAGGUGGAGCCAAUCCCAUAAAGCCGUUCCCAGUUCGGAUUGCAGGCUGCAACUCGCCUGCAUGAAGUCGGAAUCGCUAGUAAUCGCAGGUCAGCAUACUGCGGUGAAUACGUUCCCGGGUCUUGUACACACCGA
rnacentral:rRNA from 1 species